rnacentral:rRNA from 1 species
GAUGAACGCUGGCGGCGUGCCUAAUACAUGCAAGUCGAGCGAACGGACGAGAAGCUUGCUUCUCUGAUGUUAGCGGCGGACGGGUGAGUAACACGUGGAUAACCUACCUAUAAGACUGGGAUAACUUCGGGAAACCGGAGCUAAUACCGGAUAAUAUUUUGAACCGCAUGGUUCAAAAGUGAAAGACGGUCUUGCUGUCACUUAUAGAUGGAUCCGCGCUGCAUUAGCUAGUUGGUAAGGUAACGGCUUACCAAGGCAACGAUGCAUAGCCGACCUGAGAGGGUGAUCGGCCACACUGGAACUGAGACACGGUCCAGACUCCUACGGGAGGCAGCAGUAGGGAAUCUUCCGCAAUGGGCGAAAGCCUGACGGAGCAACGCCGCGUGAGUGAUGAAGGUCUUCGGAUCGUAAAACUCUGUUAUCAGGGAAGAACAUAUGUGUAAGUAACUGUGCACAUCUUGACGGUACCUAAUCAGAAAGCCACGGCUAACUACGUGCCAGCAGCCGCGGUAAUACGUAGGUGGCAAGCGUUAUCCGGAAUUAUUGGGCGUAAAGCGCGCGUAGGCGGUUUUUUAAGUCUGAUGUGAAAGCCCACGGCUCAACCGUGGAGGGUCAUUGGAAACUGGAAAACUUGAGUGCAGAAGAGGAAAGUGGAAUUCCAUGUGUAGCGGUGAAAUGCGCAGAGAUAUGGAGGAACACCAGUGGCGAAGGCGACUUUCUGGUCUGUAACUGACGCUGAUGUGCGAAAGCGUGGGGAUCAAACAGGAUUAGAUACCCUGGUAGUCCACGCCGUAAACGAUGAGUGCUAAGUGUUAGGGGGUUUCCGCCCCUUAGUGCUGCAGCUAACGCAUUAAGCACUCCGCCUGGGGAGUACGACCGCAAGGUUGAAACUCAAAGGAAUUGACGGGGACCCGCACAAGCGGUGGAGCAUGUGGUUUAAUUCGAAGCAACGCGAAGAACCUUACCAAAUCUUGACAUCCUUUGACAACUCUAGAGAUAGAGCCUUCCCCUUCGGGGGACAAAGUGACAGGUGGUGCAUGGUUGUCGUCAGCUCGUGUCGUGAGAUGUUGGGUUAAGUCCCGCAACGAGCGCAACCCUUAAGCUUAGUUGCCAUCAUUAAGUUGGGCACUCUAAGUUGACUGCCGGUGACAAACCGGAGGAAGGUGGGGAUGACGUCAAAUCAUCAUGCCCCUUAUGAUUUGGGCUACACACGUGCUACAAUGGACAAUACAAAGGGCAGCGAAACCGCGAGGUCAAGCAAAUCCCAUAAAGUUGUUCUCAGUUCGGAUUGUAGUCUGCAACUCGACUACAUGAGGCUGGAAUCGCUAGUAAUCGUAGAUCAGCAUGCUACGGUGAAUACGUUCCCGGGUCU